UCUGUUACCAAACUAACUGCCAGUCAUAUAAAUGGAAGCAUUACAGCCUUAAAUAGUGUUACAAACUCAUUUGAGUACUGUGUGAGAAAGCUUAGCUUUAAGCAGUGCUGGUGGUGACUAAUUUGUCCCUUGGGGGUUAACCGUAGCUGUAUGAGCUCAUUGCUGACACCGUUCAGUGCUAGAAACCUGCAUGCGACUCAACCUGACUCGACUGCUGCUGAGACCAGCUCAGCUCUCAUACAUCUCCAACUGCUGCCCAAAUGCUGAAAAAUGCCAAAGAGACCGCUUGGGGGCUUGGGGACUCGUACAGAUUCGUACAUGUACCAGAGUCAGACAGUAGACUCGGAACUUGUUAGCCCGUGGAUACUAUUGCUGCUACCUGUGGACUUUGUAGAGACUUGCUGCUGCAGUUUGGUUGAUAGUUAGUUAGACAACAUUUUGUGCCUGUUAGUGUUAAUAAUUAUUUUGCAUUUUGAUUUAAAUACUUUUAUCAUUUACAGGUCAUUUUUUAUUUCUGCUACUGGCAUGAUAGAACAUACAUAGGAGUUGGUAGAUUUUUGUUCAUUUACUGUAAAAAUAAUACAUAAUAAUAAUUUAGCAUCAACACAAUUAAUCCAGUAGGUAAAGUAACUUUAGCUUACAGCUUCAUAUUUUUGGAUGUUAAUGAAGCAUAUUGCUUUACUUCCACUCGAUAUCAGUGUCAUAGUUAGCCACUAUGCCCCCUGAUCCUUUUGUCCUCUUCUGUAUCUGCCUUCCCCUGUGUUUCCUGGCGGUCCCCUGUCCGUCUUGUGUGUGUGUGUGUGUGUGUCUGGGUUCUGGGCUGGUUUCCAGAUCUCCCGGCUGCUAUUGAUUACCGGAACACCUGAUCAUCAUCAUCAUCAUCAACCACCACAGUUAUCUACCGGGCUCAUCCACACUUCCAGCGCCAGAUCGUCUUCGUACCCAACCUCUGUGCUGCCGGUGAUCACUUCCCUGUGCCACGGCCAUCGGACUCUAGUCUCAGUCUCAGCGUGUCUUCACCCGAUCAGCCCAGCCUUCAACCACGCCAGCCAGUCCAGAACCCGCUUCCCUGGUCUCCGCUCAACGCACCACUCUCCAGCCUCCGUCCAGUCCGGUCGAACUCUCCGUGCUACAACGCACUUCGCCAGACACGCCGCGAUCUCCUGAUCUUUCCACACAAUAAAACUGUUCAGACCUUGUUCA